GGACGAGGAGGCGCAGCAGGAGGCGGAGGAGUGCCCCAUCUGCACGGAGCCCUAUGGGCCGGGGCAGCAGCGCCUGGCCCUGCUGAACUGUGGCCACGGCCUCUGCAUGGGCUGUCUGCACCGGCUGCUGGGCGCUGCCCCCGGCGACCUGGGCCGCGUGUGCUGCCCGCUGUGUCGCCAGAAGACCCCCAUGCUCGAGUGGGAGAUCUGCCGGCUGCAAGAGGAGCUGCUGCGGGCCGACGGGCCCCCACGCCCCGCGCCCCCCACCCCACCCCUGCCUGCCCGCCACGGCCGCGGGCCAUGGGCCUCCCUGGAGCACCGCUACCAGCUGCGCUUCCUGCCAGAGGCCGUGGGCGGCCGAGGCUGCCUGCCCUUCCUGCCCUGCCCGCCCUGCCUGGGUGCCUGGCUCUGGGCCCUACGGGGACACGGGCCCUGUGCCCGCCGCCUGGCACUGCUGAGCCUGCUGGCACUUGAGCUGCUCGGCCUGCUGCUUGUCUUCACCCCGCUCUUGCUGCUGGGGCUGCUGUUCGUGCUGCUGGACGGCUCCCGCCGCUGACGGCCACGUGCCUGCUGCCGGCACGUCCUGGGCCUGGGCCUGGGGCAGCGGCUGCCGACUGACAGGAAGCCUUGGUGCCAGCGGCCCUGGCAGCACCCUGCCCUGAGGCCCGACGACCAGGAUUGAAGAACCCAGGGCUGACCGGUGUGCUAGCCUUCAUCCCGGGGCCUGGACAGGGCCGCCCCAGAACCUGCGUUUAGCCUCUGACCCAGCCUGAGACGCCUACUGCCCAGACACGAGCCACCGGUGUGCAGCACAGCACUGGAGGAGGUUCAUGGCCAGGGCUCCGAGAGCCCCUCGAUGGACAGGCCCCACCCCACUGCUGGACCUCCCACCCGGCUGGUCUGCAGGAGGGGGUGCCAUGGACCUGAGUGUUCCCUGAAGGUCAGGCAGCCCGGGGGGCCCCUGCUGCACAGGCCCAGCUCACAAAGGGCCACCUCACCUGGGCUGUCAGGAGCCCAGCGGCCCCGAGCAGGCUGGGUGUCAGCACAUGCCCCUCCACCUCAAGGGCCCAGGGCCCCAAUGGGUCCAGGGCCCCACUGGGUCCAGGAGCCAGAGACUGCCAACGGGGCCCCGUCCUCCCGACCACUCCGCAGCACCCCUCCGAGACUGCCAACCGGGCCCCGUCCUCCCGACCGCGCCACAGCACCCCUCCGAGCCUGCCAACCCGGCCCCGUCCUCCCGACCGCGCCACAGCACCCCUCCGAGACUGCCAACCGGGCCCCGUCCUCCCGACCACUCCGCAGCACCUCUCCGAGCCUGCCAACCGGGCCCCGUCCUCCCGACCGCGCCACAGCGCUCCCUCCGAGCCUGCCAACCGGGCCCCGUCCUCCCGACCGCUCCGCAGCGCCUCUCCGAGCCUGCCAACCGGGCCCCGUCCUCCUGACUGCUCCGCAGCGCCCCUCCGAGCCUGCCAACCAGGCCCUGUCCUCCCGACCGUGCUGCAGCACCCCUCCAAGCCCACAGCCUGCACCUGAUGGACACUGUCACAGCCCCGCCUUGCGGGCUCGUCAGUACAAGGGGCAGCUCUCAAUAAACAGGGAG
ensembl:lncRNA